rnacentral:rRNA from 1 species
CAGCCGCCACGGUAAUACGAAGGGGGCUAGCGUUGCUCGGAAUGACUGGGCGUAAAGGGCGCGUAGGCGGCGGCCAAAGUCAGGCGUGAAAUUCCCGGGCUCAACCUGGGGGCUGCGUUUGAUACUUGGUUGCUUGAGUGGGGAAGAGGGUCGUGGAAUUCCCAGUGUAGAGGUGAAAUUCGUAGAUAUUGGGAAGAACACCGGUGGCGAAGGCGGCGACCUGGUCCUUUACUGACGCUGAGGCGCGAAAGCGUGGGGAGCAAACAGGAUUAGAUACCCCUGUAGUCCCUGUCUCUUAUAC